rnacentral:rRNA from 1 species
AUUGAACGCUGGCGGCAUGCUUUACACAUGCAAGUCGAACGGUAACAGGCCUUCGGGUGCUGCCGAGCGGCGAACGGGUGAGUAAUGCAUCGGAACGUACCCAGAGGUGGGUGAUAAUGCAGCGCAAGCUGUGCUAAUACCGCAUGUGAUCUGAGGAUGACAGCGGGGGACCGAGCAGCAAUGUUUGGCCUCGCGCCUUCGGAGCGGCCGAUGUCGGAUUAGCCAGUUGGUGGGGUAAAGGCCCACCAAGGCGACGAUCCGUAGCUGGUCUGAGAGGACGACCAGCCACACUAGGACGGAGACACGGCCCAGACUCCUGCGAGAGGCAACAGUGAGGAAUUUUGGACAAUGGGCGCAAACCUGAUCCAGCAAUGCCGCGUGCGGGAAGAAGGCCUUCGGGUUGUAAACCGCUUUUGGCAGGAACGAAACGGUGUCCACUAAUACCGAGCGCUAAUGACGGUACCUGCAGAAUAAGCACCGGCUAACUACGUG